CUUGAGCCACAGCGCCACUUCUGGACGUUUUCUGUAUAUGUGGUGCUGAGGAAUUGAACCCAAGGCUUCAUGCAUGCUAGGCAAGUACUCUACAACUAGGCUGCAUUCCCAGCACCUGCAAAAGAUUUUUUCUGCA